rnacentral:rRNA from 1 species
AUGGCAUCUGGGAGCGCCACAGCUGGUAGCCAAUCGUCCGUGGGUGAGAGUGAAGGCCGUCUUGGUCCUGGUGCUGUAGAUCCAAGGUAUCCUCUGUGGGCUUAUGUGCAGAAGCUUGUACCAGAAGAAGCAAAUGGUGAUGGUGCAGCUGUUGCCUCUGGUAGCCGUGGAGGAAACGCCAAGUUCCGCUGCAAUUUCUGCAAGAAAAUUUACCCAGGCAGCUAUUCAAGAGUGAAGCCUCAUCUUCUUCAGAUAACAAAGAAAGAUGUAGCUACAUGUGACAAAAUACCACAUGCUGCCUUUGAGCAACUUUGCAAGGAAGAUAGAGCAGCUGCUCAACUCCUUCAAAAUGGUCCAACCAGGCAUACAAUUCCUUUACCCCCCCCCCCCCUAUGA